GCAACUCGCCUGCAUGAAGUUGGAAUUGCUAGUAAUCGUGGAUCAGCAUGCCACGGUGAAUACGUUCCCGGGCCUUGUACACACCGCCCGUCACACCAUGAGAGUCGGGAACACCCGAAGUCCGUAGUCUAACCGCAAGGAGGACGCGGCCGAAGGUGGGUCUGAUAAUUGGGGUGAAGUCGUAACAAGGUAAC
rnacentral:rRNA from 1 species